rnacentral:rRNA from 1 species
UGACCUCAAAUCAGGUAGGAUUACCCGCUGAACUUAAGCAUAUCAAUAAGCGGAGGAAAAGAAACUAACAAGGNUUCCAAG